GAGACUUCCUAUCUCCCUCACAGAACUCCAAUUCCCAGAGUUCCCUGGGAAAGAGGCAUUGAUUUUUAAGCCACUCUGGAAACUGGAGUUCUGUGAGGGGAACAGGGGUCU